rnacentral:rRNA from 1 species
GACGAACGCUGGCGGCGUGCCUAACACAUGCAAGUCAACUUGACUGAAGGAGCAAUCUGACAGUAGAGUGGCGCAAGGGUGCGUAACGCGUAAGUAACUUGCCCCAAGGUAAGGAAUAACGUCGAGAAAUCGGCGCUAAUACCUCAUAAUGCAGCGGAUCCGCAUGGAUAUGUUGUUAAAGGUUUACCGCCUUGGGAUAGGCUUGCGUCUGAUUAGCUAGUUGGUGUGGUAACGGCACACCAAGGCCACGAUCAGUAACUGGUCUGAGAGGAUGAUCAGUCACACUGGAACUGAGACACGGUCCAGACUCCUACGGGAGGCAGCAGUGAGGAAUAUUGGGCAAUGCUCGAAAGAGUGACCCAGCAACGCCGCGUGGAGGAUGAAGGUAUUCUAUAUCGUAAACUCCUGUGAGAGCAGACGAAAGACAGAUUAUUAAUCUGGAUGACUGUAUGCUCAGA